UGAGGAAUAUUGGUCAAUGGUCGGAAGACUGAACCAGCCAUGCCGCGUGCAGGAAGGAGGUCCUAUGGAUUGUAAACUGCUUUUGUCGGGGAGUAACGUGCGGGACGGGUCCCGUAUUGAGAGUACCCGAAGAAAAAGCAUCGGCUAACUCCGUGCCAGCAGCCGCGGUAAUACGGAGGAUGCGAGCGUUAUCCGGAUUUAUUGGGUUUAAAGGGUGCGCAGGCGGCGCGCCAAGUCAGCGGUCAAAGUUCCGGGCUCAACCCGGUGUCGCCGUUGAAACUAGCGUGCUCGAGUGCGUGCGAGGAAGGCGGAAUGCGUUGUGUAGCGGUGAAAUGCAUAGAUAUGACGCAGAACUCCGAUUGCGAAGGCAGCUUUCCAGCGCGCUACUGACGCUGAGGCACGAAAGCGUGGGGAUCGAACAGGAUUAGAUACCCUGGUAGU
rnacentral:rRNA from 1 species